AGAGUUUGAUCCUGGCUCAGAUUGAACGCUGGCGGCAUGCCUAACACAUGCAAGUCGAACGGCAGCACAGGUAGCAAUACCGGGUGGCGAGUGGCGGACGGGUGAGUAAUGCAUCGGGAUCUACCCAAACGUGGGGGAUAACGUAGGGAAACUUACGCUAAUACCGCAUACGUCCUAAGGGAGAAAGCGGGGGCUCGCAA
rnacentral:rRNA from 1 species